UAGGGAAUCUUCCACAAUGGACGCAAGUCUGAUGGAGCAACGCCGCGUGAGUGAAGAAGGUUUUCGGACCGUAAAGCUCUGUUGUUGGUGAAGAAGGAUAGAGGUAGUAACUGGCCUUUAUUGAACGGUAAUCAACCAGAAAGUCACGGCUAACUACGUGCCAGCAGCCGCGGUAAUACGUAGGUGGCAAGCGUUGUCCGGAUUUAUUGGGCGUAAAGCGAGCGCAGGCGGAAGAAUAAGUCUGAUGUGAAAGCCCUCGGCUUAACCGAGGAAUUGCAUCGGAAACUGUUUUUCUUGAGUGCAGAAGAGGAGAGUAGAACUCCAUGUGUAGCGGUGGAAUGCGUAGAUAUAUGGAAGAAUACCAGUGGCGAAGGCGGCUCUCUGGUCUGCAACUGACGCUGAGGCUCGAAAGCAUGGGUAGCGAACAGGAUUAGAUACCCUGGUAGUCCAUGCCGUAAACGAUGAGUGCUAAGUGUUGGGAGGCUUCCGCCUCUCAGUGCUGCAGCUAACGCAUUAAGCACUCCGCCUGGGGGAGUACGACCGCAAGGUUGAAAC
rnacentral:rRNA from 1 species